rnacentral:misc_RNA from 1 species
GGAAGUAAAAGUGUAACAAGGUUUCCGUAGGUGAACCUGCGGAAGGAUCAUUAUCGAAAUACUUAUUUAGCGUUCCGUGCUAUCCCAUUGUUUUAUUUACCCUGUUGCUUCCACUGGAUGAGUUUCCAUACCUUGUGUUUGAGAAACUUUGGCUUGUGUAAGAUUCAUUCACGGCCAGCCAGUGAGAAGACCAUUUACAAAACCCUGUUAAGAACCAAUUGUCUGAAUAUUUUACUCCAAUGAAAUAAAACUUUCAACAACGGAUCUCUAGGCUCUU